AAAGAAGAUUGGUGUGGCUGAAGAAUAGUGAGCAUGGAAGAGAGAGGGAUAGAAGCCAAGAUGGCCAAAUAGGAACAGCUCCGGUCUACAGCUCCCAGCGUGAGCGACGCAGAAGACGGGUGAUUUCUGCAUUUCCAUCUGAGUAAUCAAGUCAUAGCUGGAAUGUGACUGCCUGGCUGAUCUUCCAAGGUCCCCUUGCAUCUAUGUGUGGCCUUAUGAAUCAAUCCUUGCCAAUGGAAAGUGAAUGGAAGUGAUGUGUGUCAGUCCCAGGACUGACCAUAGACCUCCUGCAUGUGCUCCUUUAUGCUAUUUCUUCAGUUCAGGGUGGGAAUGGGAAUGCCCAGAGCAACUUUGGAAGCUAUAUGCUGAGGAUGCUAGAACUGCCAUCAGCCUGGGACCCUGAACAACUGUAUGAAACCAGGUACCUGUGGGUGGGAAAAAAACUGGCUGGAACUAUUAGAUGAAAGAAAAAUAAACAUGUUUUUGGUCAUUGCAA
rnacentral:lncRNA from 1 species